rnacentral:lncRNA from 1 species
GCCUUGUUCACCCAGGGCAGCUUCCUGCGUAGGUGGGCCAUGGAGAGUGCUGAAAAAAAGGAGCACAUCCGGCAGGAAGCUGUGUCUGUCACCUUUUCCAUUCAAGAUCGAGCCCUGCAGCCCCCUUCCUCCAAGUCAGGACUCAAGUCUUAAUCCUGACGUUUCCUCUCCUCUCCCUCCCUCACACAACUCCCACCCUGAGGAAUCGCAGACUUCAUACACUUGAGAGCUGGAAAGGCCUCCG